rnacentral:lncRNA from 1 species
CGAGGGGCGUGGCCUAGAGGGGCGGGGAGGCGGGGCCACGCCCCCAGGAGGCCGGCGCUUGGCCGCCUUGACCAGUCCGGAGCCGCGCGCGGACGCGAGGUGGGUGGGUCUGCGGAAGCGGGUUCCUCCUCCUUUAAGGUUCGGUGACUCGUGGGCAGCCGGCCGCAGUGUCCGUGCACUUGUUUUCCGCAGAAGGUGAUUAUCGUGGCAACUCCUGUUAGUGCCUUCGCCGGGCACCCAGCACCCGGUCUCUGGCCCUUGGCACUCAGCACCCGGCACCCAGCGCUCAGCCUGCAGAGCACCUGGGCGGUCAAGCAGGACGUCUCCCGCGGGGUCUUGCGCUCUGCCAAAAUCGAGAAAAUCAUUAGACUAGCAGCUCUCACAACUGUGCUACUGCUCGGCCAGGUCAUCAGCCACGGGGGAGGGACAGG